UACGAAGGGGGCUAGCGUUGUUCGGAAUUACUGGGCGUAAAGGGCGCGUAGGCGGUCCUGAUCGUCGGAUGUGAAAGGCCUGGGCUCAACCUGGGAACUGCAUCCGAUACGGCGGGACUGGAGUGUGGGAGAGGUUGGUGGAAUUCCCAGCGUAGAGGUGAAAUUCGUAGAUAUUGGGAAGAACACCGGUGGCGAAGGCGGCCAACUGGACCACAACUGACGCUGAGGCGCGAAAGCGUGGGGAGCAAACAGG
rnacentral:rRNA from 1 species